UUUUUUGGUGGUUGAAGGAGAUUGAAACUGAUUUUUCAAGUGUUUUCAGACCUGUAAUAGCAAAGGUCAUGGCUCAUGCCCAAUUGUAUCUCGUUCUUGAUUAUUUGAGGAGGUGGAAGGAUUUGGUUUGGGGUUUUGGACAGAGGACCAUUUGAGGAAGAUUGAUGACUUUGAGAAGAUCAAGCAACAAUUGGCAUAGUGCUUGGGAAUUCCACCAUAUUAGAUCAUAGUCCCUAUCCCACAAUGUUAAAGAUCAUGACCACAAAACUUGGAAUUACAAAGGCAUAGUACACAUGCAUUUUUCCAGUCGAAACCUAGUCUUAGAGUGGGGGAAUAAUAACUGCAGAACUUGGGUUUACCAAGGGCAAGAAUAUAUGGAGCUUGGCCUCCAAUCUUUGAGUGGAGAGUUCUUCACACGUUUAUGUCACUAUGUAAUGUGUACUUGAAUAAUUAGUACGCUUGUGUACUUUUGAAUGAGAGAAACUUUUAUUCAUGUCA